CUGGGCAGGGAGACUCGGGACCCCGUGGGCGCGCUCCUGGGAGAGCUGCUCCCCUGCAAGUUCCGCAAGUUUCUGUCCCAACUGCGGGCCAAGUGUGCGGAGGAGGAGCCGGAGCCGGAGCCGCAGGCACAGGGUGAAGCUCACCGAAGAGCAGAAGCGGGGUGGGGAGGCCGUCCCUCCUGGGGCUGCUCUGCCCUGCCCUUGCAGGUCGGUAGAGGCGCCGGAGUGAGGGCGCCCCCAGCCCCCAGCUCCUCCUCCUCCUCCUGGCCCCCAGCGCCCUCAGCACCUCGACAUCAAAGUGGGGCGUCCGAGCCCUGGCGGCGUUCUCCGGGGUGUCCCAGCUGCCAGUUCCUCCCAGACCUGCAGUAAGUGUGGGGGACCUGCAUGGUGGGCAGGGCUGCUGGGAUACUUCCAAGGUGGGACCUGCCUGUUCAUGCCAGGUGUGGCCUGUCUUUAAGGGACCAGUUGUCCGGCUUCCAGGAGAGACUGGAGAAGAUUUUGCACCAGAGGACAUCUUCCCUGGGACAACUGAGUGGUGACCACUCACAAUUCCCCACAGUCAGAAAGGCCAGCUCGUUCUGUGGCACACCAGCCCCCGAGGCCAUGCCCACCCCUACCCCCUCCGGGGAAGGCUUGGGGCCCCGCAGGCACAGCUGCCCUUUCCAGGUACGGCUUGCUGAUGAGAUGCUCACGGACAGCGCUCUCUGCUACUGGGAACACAGCUGUGCAGGUAGACAUCUGGGCUGGGAGCCCCAGGGACUCAAUAGAAUCGCAGCCUGGGGUGUGGAGGGCAGCAGGCUGCGCACUGGCCCCCCAGGGGGUGCACCUGCCCCACCUCUCUGGAGGGUGUCAGGUGACUGUCGAGGACCAGGCAGGGCUGAGAGCUGGCGGAAGUGGCAGCUGCCCAGGCCUGAUUGCCACCAAGGGGCUUCCCGCUGCUGGGUCUGCCCAGCCUCUGCUGCCUGUGUCCCUGACGCCUGACCUUGGGCUGGCAGAGGAGGUGUCCAGGAAGCUGGAGAAGGGAAACUGCUCUGUCCUGGGGUGGUGAGUACCAGUGUCUGCACGGACACGAGGCCCAGUCAGGCCCAGGCCCCAGGCAGGCAUCUGCUCUCAGCCCUCUGGGGACAGACUCAAGGGCGUCCAUUUGGCAGGGUUGCCCAAACUGGGUUGCAGGAGGCAAGGAGACAGCAGGGAUGUGGCUCAGCCACCUGCCUGGCAAGUGGGAGGCCCUGAGUUCAAUACCAGGUAUCAAAAGAAAAAAAAAAGAGCCUGCCUCGCCAGUGCAAGGUCCCGAGUUCGAUCCCCAGUACAAAAAAGCAAAAAAAGGAAGCAAGGAGAACCAGAGUCCUUGCCUCUUCUCCUCUGUGUCCAGCCACCCCUGGCCUCCCAGAGUUGAUGCCCUGCAGCGAUUCACUGAGCACCCACUCUGCGCAAUUCCGGGACCUGCCUUCCCCAAAGCGCUGCUGUGGAAAAAGCCCUGCAAGGCCAGGACCUCCGCUGAUUCCGGAGGGACCCUCCUCAGCCCCCCAGACUCACAGGAUUGCAGAGUGAAUCUGUGGUUUUGCCCAAACCCCUGUUUUUUUCCACAGGGAAACCAAGGCAGAAGGGACUUGGGUUUUUUUUCUUUUGGUACCAGAGAUUGAACUCAGGACCUUGCACUUGCCAGGCAGGCGGCGGAACCACUGAGCUCAAUCCCCGGCCUGGAACUUGGUUUUUUGUAUUUUUUUACACUGGGAAUCGAACUCAGGGCCUCACACUUGCCAGGCAGGUGCUGUGCUGCUGAGCUACAUUCCCGCCCAUGCAAAGGGGUCUUAUGCAGGUGACAUGAAGCCAGGAACAAAAAGAAGCCAGGUGACCCCCCACCAGAAGGACAGGGCCAGCCUGGGAGAGACUCUCAUGCUGUGGCAGCAGGGUGAUUCUUCUGUCCUGUCACUGGCUGUGACGGUACCCAGGGCACAGGGAACCCAGCCUACGCUGCCCAACCCUUCCCUUCCCCAGUCACCCACGGGGAAUUCGGGGCAGGCCGGCCGUGCCGGAGGACAGCCCUGGGGGCAGGAAAGGUUCCCGGGCCCAGACACCCCUCCCUCCAUCCCCCGGGAAUGGGCGCCCUCUGGGAUUUUCACCGCGGGGUGGGGGGGGUGUUCGACUUGGCUGCGCGCUGCCUGACAGGGGCCCAUUUGGGGCUGGAGCAGGGGCGAGGGUCCUGGGGGCACAGCUUGGGGAGCAACGGCAGAAACAGUCAUGCCAGUUUCAAAACCCAGGCCAUGUCUAGAGGCAGCCAGAGGCUUGGGGAAGCCUGCGGUUGCCAUGGAGAAAAAAGGUGGGGGGGCAGAGUAGGGAACUCGCCUGCUCUCUCCUCUGCAGUCCAGCAGAGCAGGAUGUCCCCCCUGCCAGCGGAGUCGGUGUCCAAGCCGGGCCUCAGGAGCCUCGGGAGGUGGCUGGACAGUUUGCCCAGGUCUGGGUACCUCCGGGCCAAGGAGGACGCCAUGGCCAGCUCCUCGCGCUGGGCCCAACCUGGCCUGUGAGGCCCCAAGCCCUGUGUGCCUCCCUGACCCCGGGCAUGGGACCCAGGGUUCUUGAAGUUCACAGGCUCCUGUCUCCCCAGGCCUGCCCGGGAGCCGCUGGGCUACCUCUCCAAGGGCGCCUCUCUAAAGGGCAGCCUGCCCUUCAUCCCCAGGGCCACUGCCCGGUGGCCAUGGAGGAACCUGCAGGGGCUCCCGGACACCUGCAGCUUCCUGGAGCAGUUGGGUAGUUGCUCCUGGAGCCAGAAGCCAGUGAGCACCCCACGCAGCCGGUCAUGGGCCUGGCAGGGGGGGGGGUGGGCCUGCAGGGGCCAGACCUCCAAGUCUGGUGUGGUGGUGCAUACCUGUGAUCUCAGCACGCUGGGGGCUGAGGCAGGAGGAUCUCCACGAGUUCAUGACCAGCCUGGGCUAUAGUUCAAGACCAGCCAGAACUGCAUAGGGAGGCCCUAUCUCAAAAUAAAAAAACAAACAGAAUGGGCCUGCAGCUGUACCACCCACUAGACUGGAGCAGAAGCACGGGUAUGGGCAGUGCUCUGUCUCUUCCAAGGUCCCCAGCAGUGACCAGCUUCCUCCCCUCCCUAGGAACCCUUUCUGCCCAGCCUGGUGCUCCAGUCCAUCCUGAAGCACAGCUGCCCUAAGGGCUACUAGCUCCUCCUGCCUUCCCAAAUGCCUGUGGGAGCCCCAGCUGAGGGCUGCGUGCAGGCCGGGGCAUGAGGAGUGUCCUGCCUCAGCCUGCAAAUAAAGGCACAUCCCUGAUGGCUAGGAUGUGCUGUUAGGUCUCACGGUACUGUACAAGCCUGUUUCGUGCCUGCUUUGGGAGUCUCUCGGGUUCCUGAGCUGGAGGAGGAACAAGGUAGAAUUAUAGCUGGGACCAGGGUGAGGGCCAGGACCGCCCCUCGGGUUUGAGACCCUGGACAACCCCAGACCUGGCACCCGGCCUCUGUCCACCCAGUUCAGCCCAUACCUGAAGGAGGCACCUGAAAUGCAGGGAGCCCCCACCCCUGCCACUGGCCCCCUCCCCGCUGUCCAUGGCGUAGUCCCCGGCUGCUGAUCCAGCUCUUUGUCGCCACCUCCUGGCCAGGGAGGACACAGCCAGGGAAUCCACCGCGGGCACCUGGCUCAGUGGGAACCUGGCUCAGUGGGUCGCUGGGCGGCUGGGGCUGGACAGAGGUUGGUGGUGACCUUGGGCCGUGGAGGACGGAGGCUUUUUUUGGAGGGGCGCCCUGGCUCCAGAAGAAAGGCAGUGGGUAGAUUAGAAACGGUUCGGGCAAAGCCAGCUUGGAGAGGGUUGGGAACGGCGCUGCAGCCGCCCUGGCAGGCGCGCACGGGGCCCGGAGCGGGAUCGGUCCCCCGCCACCUCCACCCCGCCCCUUGGC
rnacentral:lncRNA from 1 species